rnacentral:lncRNA from 1 species
UUGUGAUGGUGUGGGUUGCUUUGCUCUCGGGCUUAUCGGAAUUAGGAGAGUGCGAGACCAACAUGUAAUUAAGGUGCCGACACUUUUGUUUACAUUUAGAUGAACACGACGAUGGAUGUGGAGUGCAAAGAGAGAUGAGUAAUCCAUUGUUGGAUCAUACUGGAGGAAUAGCUAAUGUUGGGUCAGUGGCUAAUUAAAAGAAAAAGGAAGUAUUCAACAUCUGGAGCUAUGGGCGCAAUCGUGGCAAUACCACUUCAAGUGAGUUAAAGAGCAUGCAUGUGCUGGCAUUACCACUUCAAUUUUGUGUAGUUUUAUCACCAACUAAACCUUGUUUCUUAUUAUGAUAUGCCUCUUGCAGUUCUUAGUUUGCACUUCGGUCAUAUUUGUACAUUCUUUUCCAUGAAUUGGUGCUCCCGCUCUUAAGCACGAGACCUCCGCCGAUAACCACCGUCUCUCUCAAAAGUCAAAACGCUUCGUCGGGAUAACUACUUUCGUUCCUCUCUAGCUUCCACUCCCAGCUCGGCA